CUCUGCUGCCCCAGGAAUGGGCUGAUUUCCUGAGUACACAUUAAUCUGAGCUCCCUCAGCCCUAGGGGUAGGGGGAUUGGGGGCACAAGAUGGGUGGAGCCAGAUAGGGAAGAUUCCCCCAGUGUUGUCCUGCUCCCAGUCCAGGUUUGGGACAAUGCCGGCAGCGUUUCCCUGUGUCUUUCCCCCACAAAGUCUCCAAGUCUUUCCUCAAAUGAUCGUCAAGGUUUGGGAGAAACAAUCUCUUCCUCUGCCCGGGUUGCGUGGAUCUCCAGUGGAAAGAUACUGCAUGACAUUGAAACAGCCGGUGUAUUAACUAAUGUAUAUGACAGUCCACCUCUGUAUGAUGAUGUGAAAGUGCAAUUUUUCUCUUCAGCUUUAUCUACCAAGAAAUGAAUUGGAUAAUCCACAUAAACAAAAAGCUUGGAAAAUUUAUCCACCAGAAUUUGCCGUGGAGAUACUUUUUGGUAUGGUUUCUGUGGAUUCUCUGCUCUUUGUGCUCUCCUCCCCACAUUGGUGGCUCCAUCUGGCACAGGGAAGCUUCUGGAUGUCAGAAGGUGGAUUCUCACUCUGUCACCCAGGCUGGAGUGUAGUGGCACAAUCUUUGCUCACUUCAACCUCUGCCUUCUGCGUUCGAGCAAUUCUCCUGCCUCAGCCUCCCGAGUAACUGGGAUUACAGGGACAGUAAGUGGUGUUUCCUGGGAGAUGCUACGGUGUUAUUUUUGCACUACAAGGGCUCUGAAGACUGCCAGGCUUGAAGUGAAGAACCACGUCACCUGCCUAUCCCAGCCAGGUGACAGUGGACAAGGGGCUUCACCUCUGAGCUGUUUUCCAGCUGUACUGGGCACAUUCCUCCUCUCACCCUGACUCACAAGGUGUUAGCAAUAAUGGACACUCCUCUAUCUUCUGCCACACUCUGAACAAUACUUCACUUCCAUCAAAUGGAUUCAUCCCAAAGGGAACGGGUCACGCAUGUGGAUGAUCAAAGGUCAGCUCCUGGUCAAUAUGAGAAGACUGGUUUCAGAAAAGUUGAGUGCUGAAGACUACAAAGCUGUUUGUAAGUUAUCAAGCUAGGAUUUGAUCCCAGGUCUGCCUGAUAAAUCCUGGACUCUUAACCAUGACAUAGGAGUGCCCUCUUGACUCCUAUGAUGGCAUAAAGAAUUGUAUCAGAACGGGUAAUCUGGCAUUAAAACCCCUGUGCCACAA
rnacentral:lncRNA from 1 species